CCUACGGGGGGCAGCAGUGAGGAAUAUUGGUCAAUGGGCGGGGGCCUGAACCAGCCAAGUCGCGUGAGGGAAGACAGUCCUACGGAUUGUAAACCUCUUUUGCCGGGGAGCAACGGGGUCCUUGCGAGGGCCCGAUGAGAGUACCUGAAGAAAAAGCAUCGGCUAACUCCGUGCCAGCAGCCGCGGUAAUACGGAGGAUGCGAGCGUUAUCCGGAUUUAUUGGGUUUAAAGGGUGCGUAGGCGGAGUGUCAAGUCAGCGGUAAAAUUUCGGGGCUCAACCCCGUCGUGCCG
rnacentral:rRNA from 1 species